AGUGAACGCUGGCGGUAGGCCUAACACAUGCAAGUCGAACGGCAGCACAGUAAGAGCUUGCUCUUACGGGUGGCGAGUGGCGGACGGGUGAGGAAUACAUCGGAAUCUACUUUUUCGUGGGGGAUAACGUAGGGAAACUUACGCUAAUACCGCAUACGACCUACGGGUGAAAGCAGGGGUUCUUCGGACCUUGCGCGAUUGAAUGAGCCGAUGUCGGAUUAGCUAGUUGGCGGGGUAAAGGCCCACCAAGGCGACGAUCCGUAGCUGGUCUGAGAGGAUGAUCAGCCACACUGGAACUGAGACACGGUCCAGACUCCUACGGGAGGCAGCAGUGGGGAAUAUUGGACAAUGGGCGCAAGCCUGAUCCAGCCAUGCCGCGUGGGUGAAGAAGGCCUUCGGGUUGUAAAGCUCUUUUGUUGGGGAAGAAAAACAGCAGGUUAAACCCCCGCUGUUCUGACGGUACCCAAAGAAUAAGCACCGGCUAACUUCGUG
rnacentral:rRNA from 1 species